rnacentral:tRNA from 2 species
CGGGGUAUGGCGCAGCUUGGUAGCGCACCUGCUUUGGGAGCAGGGGGUCGUGGGUUCGAAUCCCCCUACCCCGA